GUGGGGAAUUUUCCGCAAUGGGCGAAAGCCUGACGGAGUGACGCCGCGUGGGGGACGAAGGCCUUCGGGUCGUAAACCCCUGUCAGAGGGAAAGAAGGGUGUCGGCGUGAAUAGCGCCGGCAUCUGACGGUACCUUCAGAGGAAGCCCCGGCCAACUCUGUGCCAGCAGCCGCGGUAAGACAGAGGGGGCAAGCGUUGCUCGGAAUCACUGGGCGUAAAGGGCGCGUAGGCGGGAUGGCAAGUCGGUCGUGAAAUCCUUCGGCUCAACCGAAGAACGUCGGCCGAUACUGCCGUUCUUGAGGGAUGCAGAGGAGAUUGGAAUUCCCGGUGUAGCGGUGAAAUGUGUAGAGAUCGGGAGGAACACCGGUGGCGAAGGCGGGUCUCUGGGCAUCUCCUGACGCUGAGGCGCGAAAGCGUGGGGAGCAAACGGGAUUAGAAACCCCAGUAGUCC
rnacentral:rRNA from 1 species